rnacentral:rRNA from 1 species
GCAAGUCGAACGUGAUCUAGCUGACGAUUUAUCAGAUGUUAGUAAAAGUGGCGGACGGGUGAGUAACGCGUGAGUAAUCUGCCUCAUACAGGGGGAUAGCCCUGAGAAAUUGGGAUUAAUACCGCAUAAGACCACAGUACUGCAUGGUACAGUGGUAAAAACUACGGUGGUAUGAGAAGAACUCGCGUCUGAUUAGCUAGUUGGUAGGGUAAUGGCCUACCAAGGCGACGAUCAGUAGCCGGCCUGAGAGGGUGGAC